rnacentral:rRNA from 1 species
GAUGAACGCUGGCGGCGUGCUUAACACAUGCAAGUCGAGCGAGAAGUUUUGAAAAGAUUCUUCGGAUGAAAUUUAAAAUGGAAAGCGGCGGACGGGUGAGUAACGCGUAGGCAACCUGCCCCAUACAAAGGGAUAGCAUUUGGAAACGAAUAUUAAUACCUUAUGAAACUUAACUAGUGCAUGCUAGGUAGGUCAAAGAUUUAUCGGUAUGGGACGGGCCUGCGUCUGAUUAGCUAGUUGGUGAGGUAACGGCUCACCAAGGCGACGAUCAGUAGCCGACCUGAGAGGGUGAACGGCCACAUUGGAACUGAGACACGGUCCAAACUCCUACGGGAGGCAGCAGUGGGGAAUAUUGCACAAUGGGGGAAACCCUGAUGCAGCAACGCCGCGUGAACGAUGAAGGCCUUUGGGUCGUAAAGUUCUGUU